UUAUGUGAACAAGCAAUGAUAUAUAAUUUCUUUUCUUUUCAUCCUGAAUUUUAGGGAUUAUGAGAUUUCAAAUUUAGAGCUAGAAGAGCCCUUAGAGGUCAUCUAGCCAGCCUAAAUUCUUCCUUUUAUAGUUAUUGGUUCUUCGUGGUGUGUUGAGGAGUUCCAUCCUGUUUGUCAAAUGUAGAUUCUACACUACCAAUGGAAAAGUAUUUGGAUAUUGAUGGAUAAUUUCGAAGAGUGAAAAUAAAUAUCUUUCUAGGCUGAAGAAGAGUAGGUGGAUUUGCUCAUCGUGAAGAAAAAUGAGACACAAUAGUCAACAAGGACUUAGUAGUGGCAUUCAGUUGACAAUCCACACUGCAGUCAGAACCAGGCAGGAGCUUCAGUGUUGGUGAACAGCUGCUGGCCCUCAUGAGAAUCAGUAGCUCAGGAUGGCCACUUCUUUAUGGCUGUCUUUAUUGUGCAGAUCUUCUAAAUGAUACUUGUAAGAUUUAAAACUAGUUGGUUAUAAUUUACAUCUUAUUAGUCUAAAUAAAAAAGAUAUCCAUUACCA
rnacentral:lncRNA from 1 species